UACGUAGGGGGCAAGCGUUGUCCGGAUUUAUUGGGCGUAAAGGGCGCGUAGGCGGUUUCUUAAGUUUGAAGUGACAGUGGGUGGCUUAACUACCCAAGGCCUUUGAAAACUGGGGAACUUGAGGACCAGAGAGGACAUAGAAUUCCGGGUGGAGUGGUGAAAUGCGUAGAUAUCCGGAGGAAUACCAAAGGCGAAGGCAGUGUCCUGGAGGGUGACUGACGCUGAGGCGCGAAAGCUAGGGGAGCGAACAGG
rnacentral:rRNA from 1 species